UGCUCUAAUGAGUUCUUGUGUGCUGUGUGAUUGAACCUGUUCAGCUAGGUUUUCUAACACGAGGCAGAAAUGUGACAGAAAAUGUGCCGUAGUGGGUAAAACCGUUUAAAAGACCUCCGAUAGGCGCAGGGACACUAACUAAGAUCAGCCAGCUGACGUCAUCAGAAGUCCUCAAAUAACGCUUUCAUUAUGACAUCGCGUUGAACUCUGAAAAAUAACUGGUCUUCCGGUUAACUUGGUCUUUUUAACGUCCACAGAACUUAACUCUUAACUCGCGGCUGUUACAGAGUGUGUCACUUCUGCAACCGCUAAACCACAGCGGCAGAGAAAGGCCCUCGACACGGAUUAGUCUAGAUUUACAUACUGUAGCGACACUGAAAUCAACUUGCCCAAAGACUCGAGUCACCCAAUCAGAAUGCGCGACUGUCUAAAAGGCGGCGCUGAAUUGCAGAAGUGUAUAUAAACCAUCCGCUUUCAGACUGAGCUGAAGUGCAGGGCGCGCAGCUGAAGCAGGUCCGGCUGAACUCGUGUUGAGGUCCUGCUGCAUCUGGUUUUCAGUUAAAUCGCCUCGUUUGUUUUCCUCUGUUCUUUUGUUUGUUCGUAUCUGUGAAUAUUCUCGGUGGAUCUGCCCGUUUUGGUGUCCUGGCUGCCCUUUUCUCCCCCCUCGUCCACUACGACCACCCCUGCAGUCGCUCCGCUGCGUCCAGUGGUGGAGACCCACAGAUACAAGAGAUACAACAGCUGCUGGUGGGAAAAUGGAUUACCAGAAGAACAGAAACAGAAGAUGUAAGAGGAGAGAAAGAAGAAGAACAGAGCCUUUAACUGGUGAAGAGAGGUAUCCAGAUAUUACUGACACUGAGAAACCCCCCAGAGAGCUGUACAGUCAGUGGGGAAGAGAGUGAAGAGUGUGAUGUGAGGAAAGAGGAAGAGAGCAGUGAAAUAACGAGGAGCCGCAGUCUCGAUAUAUUCAUUGAUUUCUGUGACGAGGACGACAGAGAACUGAGGCCUGACCCAGGACUGUGUGGAGGACAGAGAGCACAGAGAACUGACCCAGGACUGUGUGGACAACAGAGAGCACAGAGAACUGACGCAGGACUGUGUGGAGGACAGAGAGCACAGAGAACUGACCCAGGACUGUGUGGACAACAGAGAGCACAGAGAACUGACCCAGGACUGUGU